rnacentral:sRNA from 1 species
AGUGGUGGUCGCGAAAGACGAGGAAAUGCUCAUGGAUCUUGGAAGGAUCCGACGCCCUACCGGCAUCUCGCUCGGGCUGCGGUCUGUUUAACAGAUUUGUUUCAGCGUCAUCGGGAGGGUCUCGACCUUCCCGAUGACGCGAAGUCGAUCAUUGCUUUUUCGCCGACACGGUCUUGGCGGCCUGAUCAAUGGUAUCGGCGAUGGCCGCAGGCUGCGUCAUGAAC